UACGUAGGGGGCUAGCGUUGUCCGGAAUCAUUGGGCGUAAAGAGCGUGUAGGCGGCUCGGUAAGUCCGCUGUGAAAGUCGGGGGCUCAACCCUCGAAUGCCGGUGGAUACUGUCGAGCUAGAGUGCGGAAGAGGCGAGUGGAAUUCCUGGUGUAGCGGUGAAAUGCGCAGAUAUCAGGAAGAACACCCGUGGCGAAGGCGGUUCUCUGGGACGGUACUGACGCUGAGACGCGAAAGCGUGGGGAGCGAACAGG
rnacentral:rRNA from 1 species